AAAUUGAAGAGUUUGAUCAUGGCUCAGAUUGAACGCUGGCGGCAGGCCUAACACAUGCAAGUCGAGCGGAAACGAGUUAUCUGAACCUUCGGGGAACGAUAACGGCGUCGAGCGGCGGACGGGUGAGUAAUGCCUAGGAAAUUGCCCUGAUGUGGGGGAUAACCAUUGGAAACGAUGGCUAAUACCGCAUGAUGCCUACGGGCCAAAGAGGGGGACCUUCGGGCCUCUCGCGUCAGGAUAUGCCUAGGUGGGAUUAGCUAGUUGGUGAGGUAAGGGCUCACCAAGGCGACGAUCCCUAGCUGGUCUGAGAGGAUGAUCAGCCACACUGGAACUGAGACACGGUCCAGACUCCUACGGGAGGCAGCAGUGGGGAAUAUUGCACAAUGGGCGCAAGCCUGAUGCAGCCAUGCCGCGUGUGUGAAGAAGGCCUUCGGGUUGUAAAGCACUUUCAGUCGUGAGGAAGGUAGUGUAGUUAAUAGCUGCAUUAUUUGACGUUAGCGACAGAAGAAGCACCGGCUAACUCCGUGCCAGCAGCCGCGGUAAUACGGAGGGUGCGAGCGUUAAUCGGAAUUACUGGGCGUAAAGCGCAUGCAGGUGGUUUGUUAAGUCAGAUGUGAAAGCCCGGGGCUCAACCUCGGAAUAGCAUUUGAAACUGGCAGACUAGAGUACUGUAGAGGGGGGUAGAAUUUCAGGUGUAGCGGUGAAAUGCGUAGAGAUCUGAAGGAAUACCGGUGGCGAAGGCGGCCCCCUGGACAGAUACUGACACUCAGAUGCGAAAGCGUGGGGAGCAAACAGGAUUAGAUACCCUGGUAGUCCACGCCGUAAACGAUGUCUACUUGGAGGUUGUGGCCUUGAGCCGUGGCUUUCGGAGCUAACGCGUUAAGUAGACCGCCUGGGGAGUACGGUCGCAAGAUUAAAACUCAAAUGAAUUGACGGGGGCCCGCACAAGCGGUGGAGCAUGUGGUUUAAUUCGAUGCAACGCGAAGAACCUUACCUACUCUUGACAUCCAGAGAACUUUCCAGAGAUGGAUUGGUGCCUUCGGGAACUCUGAGACAGGUGCUGCAUGGCUGUCGUCAGCUCGUGUUGUGAAAUGUUGGGUUAAGUCCCGCAACGAGCGCAACCCUUAUCCUUGUUUGCCAGCGAGUAAUGUCGGGAACUCCAGGGAGACUGCCGGUGAUAAACCGGAGGAAGGUGGGGACGACGUCAAGUCAUCAUGGCCCUUACGAGUAGGGCUACACACGUGCUACAAUGGCGCAUACAGAGGGCGGCCAACUUGCGAAAGUGAGCGAAUCCCAAAAAGUGCGUCGUAGUCCGGAUUGGAGUCUGCAACUCGACUCCAUGAAGUCGGAAUCGCUAGUAAUCGUGGAUCAGAAUGCCACGGUGAAUACGUUCCCGGGCCUUGUACACACCGCCCGUCACACCAUGGGAGUGGGCUGCAAAAGAAGUAGGUAGUUUAACCUUCGGGGGGGACGCUUACCACUUUGUGGUUCAUGACUGGGGUGAAGUCGUAACAAGGUAGCGCUAGGGGAACCUGGCGCUGGAUCACCUCCUUAUACGAUGAU
rnacentral:rRNA from 1 species